AAGUCGUAACAAGGUCUCCGUUGGUGAACCAGCGGAGGGAUCAUUAAAAAGGGUCCAAAGACUCCAAAAACCUACCGUGCUCCCAUCGUGGAAACAAAAAAACGUCGAGCCCUUGCUGGCAGAAGUCAUCUGAGAACAGAACCGCGCCCCGGCGCGAAAAUACAAACAAAUCACAACCCAUAACAAUGGAUCUCUUGGCUCUG
rnacentral:misc_RNA from 1 species